rnacentral:piRNA from 1 species
UUUAUGAACCUCUUAAAUGCUUUCCCAUG